rnacentral:hammerhead_ribozyme from 1 species
GCACUUAUGAAGAGUUCCAGACUAGGACGAAGCAGCUGUCCAGUAC